AAAAAGUUAACCUGCAUACGCAUCACACGCAUCAUAUUCAUGUCAUUUUUGCAUUACAGGUGUUCUAGUACCCGACUUCUCACUUUGGUUCCUGUCCUAGGCAGGAUAGCUGAUCAGAGACCGCACCGCUACUCAACGAGACUCAACCAUCAACGAAAUAUGGAUCAAGUACAAGCUGAGCUAGCAGAGAUGAGGGCUAACAUGGCCCAGUUCAUUCACAUGAUGCAAGGGGUUGCGCAAGGACAAGAAGAACUCCGAGCUCUAGUUCACAGGCAAGAAGCU
rnacentral:lncRNA from 1 species